ACUUAAAGCAAAAAGCGGUGAUGCAGGUGAUGUUUAAACAUUCGUCGAAGAUAAUCAUUUAGAAAGUCAGGUAGAACAAGGAAACCAAACCUCAUUCAACAUGAAGACUGUCCAACUCAUUUUUCACUAUAUUUUGUGCUGACGUUUGACUUAAGAUUGCUUGAAAUGUGGAAGAAAAAUAAAACAGAAGAAGCCAGUGAUACAGAUAAUGUUUAGAAAAAAGCAAUUUCAGAAGUGAGAUUGAACAGUUGUUCCUGUGCCUGUGACCAUUGUAUUAUUUCGCAUGUACAAUAAACUACAAGAGCACAGAUCGAGACUGUAGUGAUGUUUUGCUGCUACUGUUAAACAAACUAUGUAUUUUUAGUUGUCAAAACGAUAAUAAAUGAAAAAAAAAAAAACAAUAAAAACUUACUCCAAAUGUCUAAAACGAUAUAAGCAUUCCAGUACUUUAUUUCAGAACCAAUAAUUCGGUUACAGGCGAGAAUAAAAUAUUAAGAGUAGGUAUAAUUCUCAAGAAAUCCUAUCGUUUAAAUUGCUGUGAGCAAUAACCACGGCGUAACUUAAAAAUGGUAGGAAUACCGUGUUGCGUCUAAGGUGUUGCCGUCUAGACAAAACUAGUCAACGACAAAAAUCAUAGUUGAUUCGUCUCUACCGAUCUCAAAAAUAAUUCUGCUAAUGCACGUAGUUUGUAAUAAAUUAAGGUAAAUUUUAAAUUUAGCAAUAAUUUCAGAAUUAGUGUGUGCGUUUAAGUUAUGUUAUCGUCGCGAGAGCUUCGUUUAGUAAACGACAAUAAAGUCAAACCCAAGCAAGGCGGUUGAAAUCUGUGAAGAGAACACUCUGCAAUCGCAAUCUGAAGAGCAGUGAAACAAACAUGGAUUACACUGCUUAAAACAUCUGCAAUAGAUGUAAAGGCCAUAGAUAGAUAGAGAUAGACAGAAUAGCAAAUUGGAGAUCUUCAACAUUGUAGAGAAAACAUUUUACUUUUGUUACAAAUAUAACCUAAUCGUAAACCAGUGCGCAGAUAUAAUUUUAUCCUAUUAGUAUAAUAAUAAUUAAGAUGGACAAUCAAAACACAAACUAGGUAGGAUGAAAUAGAUUGUGUAGAUUACGAUACGAUCAUAUAAGUUGCCAACACGUCGAGAGAGACAUAAAGUUACUUUCAUGUACCUACAUACUCGUAUAUAACAUUUAUGUAAAAAAAAUGAUGCAGAUAAUGUUCCGUUCCACUUUGAAAACAAUAAUUGAAAGUUUGACACAUCCAUUCAAUUAAAUUCAAAUGAUUCUUUAAUAGAUGAAGUGAACCGUUUUUUUUUCAUCUUAAAUAAUUUUCUAAUGUGAAUAUACAACGUUACCACGUAACUUGUGACGAAAAUCGUGACGUUACAUUGAAAGCUUGACGUAUGAAGGCAGUUAUGUUGUAUUCUUUGAAGUAUU
rnacentral:misc_RNA from 1 species